rnacentral:lncRNA from 1 species
CGGGUUGAAGCGAUUCUCCUGCCUCAGCUGCUGAGUAGCUGGGAUUACAGGUGUGGCAUCUGGCAUGAAACCAAGGACAAGACACUCAGUUGAGCUUUGUGAAAGAGUGACAGAUGAUGGAUAGAGUCAUGGGCCUGCCUCUUAUGGAGCUAAGAAAUGAAAUCUGGAUACGGAGGCCUGAGUACCUCAGAGAAGCCAAGGUUCCUGCAGGAACCUCGUGCCUGCUGUCCACGUUGGGCUUCAUUUUAUCAAAAUACAGCAAAGAGCUCAUCAUUUCUCAGCUCCUGUCGGAAGCAACAGUGGCUGUUCCUGGACACAGAGCUGCAGACAAGGAGUGGUGAGGAUUCAGGCAAGAGAAGAUGGGCAGCUUCCCCUUCAUGCUUCCCUCUCAGGAAGAAGCCAGGGUGCCUGGGAUCAAAGAGGCUAGGAGGCUGGUGAGGCCUCCUGUCCCUGAAAGCGGUCAGUGAACCCAAAAGUUGAAAAGCCUCUGCUUUGAGAGUGGUUCUGCUGCCCUACUGGUGCUGACAGUUUUAGAAACUGACAUGGCAGAGCUGACCAGGCAGACUAUAUUUUUAGGACUCUGCUGGGGCCUAUUGAAACGUCCACAUUACUCAGAUCACCAAUCUGGCUGGAGCUACCAACACAGCAUUCUUUGCUGUUUUAGAAUACAAAGCUACCUCCCCUCGGGGCUUCACUUUGCAGCCACUGAGAAUCCAAGGCUUCGCUAAAUUACACGUUUCCAUGGUCCCACUGGCUUGCUUUGCAGGGCUUCCACAAGAAUGGGCUGGGAGCGUAACUGAGUAACUGAGUCAUGAUUAGGGGUUAAUUAAGAGGAGAAAUGGGCUAGCUGUUUCCUAAGAUAAGGGAGGGGAAGUUUUUUUAAAAACUGUAACUGCUCAGAACAGUAUGUGCUAAGGCAGACUUUCUGUGCUGGGAGACAGAACACUUCUGCAGUGAUGUAGCAGAAUCCUUAAAGGAUCCUGCCAAUGACUCUUUUUUUCUGGUGUCACAUCCAAUCUUUGCUGCAGCCAACACUUCCUGGAGAUGAAACACAACUUCAAUACAGAGAUAGCAAGUUCACACUCUGGCAGUCAUGCAAGGAUGAGUGAUGCGGGCCUUUUCUAAGUGAGUAUGAACGGGUGGGACCUACGGUAAAUUCAAUGCAGUAUAAUCCGUCUACGGGGCAGUGGGCACCCAGCAACAGCCAACUGUUACCAAAUCAAAGUGCAGGCCCAGGAUGACUCAUCUUCCAGCAUUUCAUGAGCAACCAGAAGUCUACAUUUCUUUGAGAAAAAAAAUUUUUUUGAGACGAGGUCUUACUCUGUUGCCCAGGCUGGAGUGUGUAGCUUCUACCUCCCGGGGCUUAGGUGAUUCUCCCACCUCAAGUCUCCCAAGUAGCUGAGACUGCAGGCAUGUGCCACCACGCUGGCUAAUUUUUUUUUUUUUUUUGAGUCGGAGUCUCGCUCUGUCCCCCAGGCUGGAGCGCAGUGGCGCGAUCUCGGCUAACUGCGAGCUCCGCCUCCCGGGGUUCGUGCCAUUCUCCUGCUUCAGCCUCCCAAGUAGCUGGGACUACAGGCGCCCGCCACCACGCCCGGCUAAUUUUUUUGUAUUUUGUAGUAGAAACGGGGUUUCACCAUGUUAGCCAGGAUGGUCUCGAUCUCCUGACCUCGUGAUCCUCCCGCCUCGGCCUCCCAAAGUGCUGGGAUUACAGGCGUGAGCCACCGCUCCCGCCCCAUGCCAGCUAAUUUUUUUGUAGAGACAGGGCUUCGCCAUGUUGUCCAGGCUGGUCUCCAACCCCUAGGCUCCCCGCCUUGCCCUCCCAAAAUGUGGAGAUUACAGGUGUGAGCCACAAUGCCUGGCCAUUUUGAGGAAUUUUUAAACACUGGCUUUAAUUUUUCAAAGUAUCUGGAGCAACUUCUGCUUCUGAGAGAUAGAGUAGAUAUUCUUUUCCCCAGUCCUCCUGCUAAGUACAGCUAAAAACCCCAAAAACACUCUAUAUUAUACAAAAUGAACAUAAGAUGACUCUGAACAAGAAGAAAGCAGAUUGGUUAGGGACCUCCAGAUCCAAGGAAUGACUCAGCAGUGACCUCCCUAAGUUUUCUUUUUGCCUCAUAUAUGUCAGAAUGGGUACUGGAGAAGCCAGCAACCCAAAACUGCCAACGAUUGCAGACAAAAGCCCCAAGAAAAGCUUGUCUUUUUUUUUUUUUUUUUUUUGAAAGAGUGUCUUGCUCUAUCGCCCAGGCUGGAGUGCAGUGGUGCAAUCAUGGCUCACUGCAGCCUUGAUCUCCCAGGCUUAAGCUGCUUAGACUACAGAUCUGCGCCACCAUGCCUGACUAAUCAAUACAGUUGUUUUUUUUUUUUGAAACGGAGUUUCACUCUUGUUGCCCAGGCUGGAGUGCACUGGCGCGAUCUCAGCUCACUGCUGCAACCUCUGCCUCCUGGGCUCAAGCAGUUCUCCUGCCUCACCUCCUGAGUAGCUGGGAUUACAGGCAUGCACCAUCACGCCCUGCUAUUUUUUGUAUUUUUAGAAGUAGAGAUGGGGUUUCACCAUGUUGGUCAGGCUGGUCUCAAACUCCUGAUCUCAGGUGAUCCGCCCGACUCGGCCUCCCAAAGUGCUGGGAUUACAGGCAUGAGCCAUCGUGCCCGGCCUUUUUGUUUUUUUUGUUUGUUUGUUUGUUAUGUUUUUUUGUAGAGAUGGGGGUCUCACUGUUUCCCAGGCUGAUCUCAAAUUCCUGGGCUCAAGCAAUCCUCUGGCCUCAGCCUCCCAAAGUGCUGGAAUUAUAAGCGUGAACCAUGGUGUCCUGCAAGUCUGCUUUCUGAGUCAAAGGACAAGAAAAUAAACAGCCUAGAAAGACA